UACGGGGGGAGCAAGCGUUGUUCGGAUUUACUGGGCGUAAAGGGCGCGUAGGCGGUCAGCACAAGUCAGUUGUGAAAUCUCCGGGCUUAACCCGGAAAGGUCAACUGAUACUGUGCGACUAGAGUGCGGAAGGGGCAACUGGAAUUCUUGGUGUAGCGGUGAAAUGCGUAGAUAUCGGGAGGAACACCAAUGGCGAAGGCAGCUCGCUGGGACGGUACUGACGCUGAGACGCGAAAGCGUGGGGAGCAAACAGG
rnacentral:rRNA from 1 species